UGUUUAUAUGCCACUUGAUAACGAGUAUUUGUUUACACCCCCAUCGGUACAUGAAUUCGCGAAUUCCACUACUAAUGGGGGCGCUGCGAAACGUAAACAGAUAAUUUUAAUCGAGUGACAUUUGGUAAGAAAGCGAUAAGAACACACCCGAACGCUUUGAAUAUAAAUCUACCUUUAUACCUUUUAAACUAGUUUUAUAUGGAAAACCUGAACGUGAAAAAAAAGUAACAUACCUGUGUUUGGAUUUGUCCGUGGAUCAUUUGCUGGUUAGUUUCCUUCCAAACUAUAAAAUAUGAAACAUAUACAAGAUCCACUGUAUACAAGUACCAUAGAUAAAGACAAACCUGGAACGGACCAUAGAGUACGAUUAUGUUUCAACACUAGAUGGACGUUGUGAAUAAUCCAGCAUUGUUUAAAUUACCUCAUGUGUUAGAAGGCGUUAUUCGGUAUGCAAUGAGCAGUUUAUAGAAUCUCAAUUUCGAAACUCCCGAAAAGAAGAAGCUGUUAACAAACAAAAAAUGUUUAUAACAAUAAAAAACUUAACACACCUGCGCCAAAAUUGUUUAUUUUUUCAUUUUUACAUGCUUUUCAAAUUUUAAUUUUUACAUGUUUAAAUUUUUUAUCAGUCAUACGUGUGUUUGUCCUGUUUCUGUUUAAUGUUAAAAUCAUUUAUAGGCUGUCCUUAUUUUCAUUUGUAUUUCUGUUCUAAUAAAUGCGUAUAUGAUUUUUA
rnacentral:lncRNA from 1 species